rnacentral:lncRNA from 1 species
GAUUUCAGCCUCAAUUUUAUUGGCGUUAUUCCCGAAGAUUCCGGCCCGGAAUUCCCGCUUUUCCCUCAGCAUUCCCGCUUUUUCCACCGGCACAGCAGCAAAUAAGGAGAAUUCCCGGGAAUUCCCAACUCUGGGACGACUCUGGAAGGAAGGAAAAGCUCCCUGAGAUCCCAAAAAAACCUUGGGAAUGGCUCCAUCCGAAAGAAAUCCCGGGAUGGAGGCCCAGAAUUCCCGGAAUUCCCGAGGUUCUCACUCGGUGCCGACGCCGCGGGAAUUUUUCCGGGCGGUUUUGCCGGCCCAGAAUUCCAGUUUUUCCUUCAGCUCCCGGUUCUGGAAGGAGAAAAUUCCCCCCAAAAAUUCCCGAAAUAUCCCCAAAAAAUUCCCAAAAAUUCCCCAAAAAUUCCCAAAAAAUUCCCAAAAAUUCCCAAAAUAUCCCCAAAAAUUCCAGAAAUAUCACAAAAAGGAGCUGGAAAUUUUGGGGGGAUAUUUUGGGAACUUUUGGGGAAUUUUGGGGGUUUUUUGGGGAUUUUUUGGGGGAUAUUUUGGGAGUUUUUUGGGGAUAUUUUGGGAGUUUUUUGGGAAUUUUUUGGGGUUUUUUGGGAAUUUUUUGGGAUAUUUUGGGGAUUUUUUGGGGAUAUUUUGGGGGAUUUUUUGGGAUAUUUUUGGGGAGUUUUGGGAGUUUUUUGGGAAUUUUUUGGGAGUUUUUGGGGAUUUUUUGGGGAUAUUUUGGGAAUUUUUUGGGAUAUUUUGGGGUUUUUUUGGGAAUUUUUUGGGGAUUUUUUGGGAUAUUUUUGGGGAGUUUGGGGAGUUUUUUGGGAAUUUUUUGGGAGUUUUUUGGGGAUUUUUUGGGAGUUUUUUGGGGAUUUUUUGGGUGUUUUUUGGGGAUAUUUUAGGAAUUUUUGGGGGAUAUUUUGGAAAUUUUUGGGGAGCUUUUUGGGAGUUUUUUGGGAAUUUUUUGUGUUUUUGCGGGAUUUUUGGGGGUUUUUUAGGGGGAAUUUCAGGGCUUUUUGGGACUUAUUCUUGGGAUUUUGGGGGGAUAUUUUGGGAAUUUUUGGGGGAUAUUUUGGGAAUUUUUUGGGGGAUAUUUUGGGAAUUUUUGGGGGAUUUUUUUGGAAUUUUUGGGGGAUUUUUUUGGGUGUUUUUUGGGAAUUUUGGGUGGGUUUUUUGGGGAUAUUUUGGGAGUUUUUUGGGGAUUUUUUGGGUGUUUUUUGGGGAUUUUUUGGGUGUUUUUUGGGGAUAUUUUGGGAUUUUUUGGGGGAUAUUUU